UGGGGUAUAUUGGACAAUGGGCGAAAGCCUGAUCCAGCCAUGCCGCGUGUGUGAAGAAGGUCUUCGGAUUGUAAAGCACUUUAAGUUGGGAGGAAGGGCAUUAACCUAAUACGUUAGUGUUUUGACGUUACCGACAGAAUAAGCACCGGCUAACUCUGUGACAGCAGCCGCGGGCAUACAGAGGGUGCAAGCGUUAAUCGGAAUUACUGGGCGUAAAGCGCGCGUAGGUGGUUUGUUAAGUUGGAUGUGAAAUCCCCGGGCUCAACCUGGGAACUGCAUUCAAAACUGACUGACUAGAGUAUGGUAGAGGGUGGUGGAAUUUCCUGUGUAGCGGUGAAAUGCGUAGAUAUAGGAAGGAACACCAGUGGCGAAGGCGACCACCUGGACUAAUACUGACACUGAGGUGCGAAAGCGUGGGGAGCAAACA
rnacentral:rRNA from 1 species